UACGGGAGGCAGCAGUGGGGAAUAUUGCACAAUGGGCGCAAGCCUGAUGCAGCCAUGCCGCGUGUAUGAAGAAGGCCUUCGGGUUGUAAAGUACUUUCAGUCGUGAGGAAGGUGUUAAGGUUAAUAACCUUAGCAAUUGACGUUAGCGACAGAAGAAGCACCGGCUAACUCCGUGCCAGCAGCCGCGGUAAUACGGAGGGUGCGAGCGUUAAUCGGAAUUACUGGGCGUAAAGGGCACGCAGGCGGUUAAUUAAGUUGGAUGUGAAAUCCCCGGGCUUAACCUGGGAAUGGCAUUCAAGACUGGUUAGCUAGAGUCUUGUAGAGGGGGUAGAAUUCCAUGUGUAGCGGUGAAAUGCGUAGAGAUGUGGAGGAAUACCGGUGGCGAAGGCGGCCCCCUGGACAAAGGACUGACGCUCAUGUGCGAAAGCGUGGGGAGCAAACAGGGAUUAGAUACC
rnacentral:rRNA from 1 species